GUGGCGUGUGCCGGACGGUUAGGCACCUCCCUGUGGAGGAGGCCAUAACGGGUUCAACUCCCGUACGCCACCCA
rnacentral:tRNA from 1 species